GACCGCUCCAGUGGCCUAGUGGUUAGAGCAUCUGACUCUGAUACAGGAGGUUGUGGGUUUGAUUCCCAGCAGAGUCA